rnacentral:rRNA from 1 species
AUUGAACGCUGGCGGCAUGCUUUACACAUGCAAGUCGAACGGCAGCGCUGGCUUCGUCCUGGCGGCGAGUGGCGAACGGGUGAGUAAUGCAUCUGAACGUGCCCACUAGUGGGGGAUAGCCCGGCGAAAGCCGGAUUAAUACCGCAUACGACCUGAUGGUGAUAGCUGGGGACCGAAAGGCCUCGCGCUAUUGUAGCUGCCGCUGUCGGAUUAGCUAGUUGGUGGGGUAAAGGCUUACCAAGGCGACGAUCCGUAGCUGGUCUGAGAGGACGACCAGCCACACUGGGACUGAGACACGGCCCAGACUCCUACGGGAGGCAGCAGUGGGGAAUUUUGGACAAUGGGGGCAACCCUGAUCCAGCCAUGCCGCGUGCGUGAAGAAGGCCUUCGGGUUGUAAACCGCUUUUGUUAGGGAAGAAAUCCUGUGGGCUAAUAACACGGGGGAAUGACGGUACCGGAAGAAUAAGCACCGGCUAACUACGUG